rnacentral:rRNA from 1 species
GAUUGAACGCUGGCGGCAUGCCUUACACAUGCAAGUCGAACGGCAGCACGGGAGCAAUCCUGGUGGCGAGUGGCGAACGGGUGAGUAAUACAUCGGAACGUGCCCAGUCGUGGGGGAUAACUACUCGAAAGAGUAGCUAAUACCGCAUACGACCUGAGGGUGAAAGCGGGGGAUCGCAAGACCUCGCGCGAUUGGAGCGGCCGAUGUCAGAUUAGCUAGUUGGUGGGGUAAAGGCCUACCAAGGCUACGAUCUGUAGUUGGUCUGAGAGGACGACCAGCCACACUGGGACUGAGACACGGCCCAGACUCCUACGGGAGGCAGCAGUGGGGAAUUUUGGACAAUGGGCGCAAGCCUGAUCCAGCAAUGCCGCGUGCAGGAAGAAGGCCUUCGGGUUGUAAACUGCUUUUGUCAGGGAAGAAAUCCUCUGGGUUAAUACCUCGGGGGGAUGACGGUACCUGAAGAAUAAGCACCGGCUAACUACGUGCCAGCAGCCGCGGUAAUACGUAGGGUGCGAGCGUUAAUCGGAAUUACUGGGCGUAAAGCGUGCGCAGGCGGCUUUGCAAGACAGA